rnacentral:rRNA from 1 species
AACGAACGCUGGCGGCAGGCUUAACACAUGCAAGUCGAACGCCCCGCAAGGGGAGUGGCAGACGGGUGAGUAACGCGUGGGAAUCUACCUAGUUCUACGGAACAACAGUUGGAAACGACUGCUAAUACCGUAUACGCCCUAUGGGGGAAAGAUUUAUCGGAAUUAGAUGAGCCCGCGUAAGAUUAGCUAGUUGGUGAGGUAAUGGCUCACUAAGGCGACGAUCUUUAGCUGGUCUGAGAGGAUGAUCAGCCACACUGGGACUGAGACACGGCCCAGACUCCUGAGGGGGGCAGCAGUGGGGAAUAUUGGACAAUGGGGGAAACCCUGAUCCAGCCAUGCCGCGUGAAUGAUGAAGGCCUUCGGGUUGUAAAAUUCUUUUCUUUGUGAAGAUAAUGACGGUAACAAAGGAAUAAGUCCCGGCUAACUCUGUGCCAGCCGCCGCGGUAAUAC